rnacentral:rRNA from 1 species
UGACAGUACUCCUACGGGGAGGCAGCAGUGGGGGAAUAUUGCACAAUGGGCGCAAGCCUGAUGCAGCCAUGCCGCGUGUAUGAAGAAGGCCUUCGGGUUGUAAAGUACUUUCAGCAGUGAGGAAGGCAGGUACGUUAAUAGCGUACUUGUUUGACGUUAGCUGCAGAAGAAGCACCGGCUAACUCCGUGCCAGCAGCCGCGGUAAUACGGAGGGUGCGAGCGUUAAUCGGAAUUACUGGGCGUAAAGCGCAUGCAGGUGGUUUGUUAAGUCAGAUGUGAAAGCCCGGGGCUCAACCUCGGAAUUGCAUUUGAAACUGGCAGACUAGAGUACUGUAGAGGGGGGUAGGAAUUUCAGGUGUAGCGGUGAAAUGCGUAGAGAUCUGAAGGAAUACCGGUGGCGAAGGCGGCCCCCUGGACAGAUACUGACACUCAGAUGCGAAAGCGUGGGGAGCAAACAGGAUUAGAUACCCCUGGUAG